rnacentral:rRNA from 1 species
CCUACGGGGGGCUGCAGUGAGGAAUAUGGGUCAAUGGGCGAGAGCCUGAACCAGCCAUCCCGCGUGCAGGAAGACGGCCCUAUGGGUUGUAAACUGCUUUUUUAUGGGAAGAAAAAGCUCUACGUGUAGGGCACUGACGGUACCAUAUGAAUAAGCAUCGGCUAACUCCGUGCCAGCAGCCGCGGUAAUACGGAGGAUGCGAGCGUUAUCAGGAUUUAUUAGUUUUUAAGCGGAAGAAGAAGUCAGUUGAGAAAUCUCACAGCUUAACUGUGAAACUGCCAUUGAUACUGGUUUUCUUGAGUAUAGUUGAAGUAGGCGGAAUGUGUAAUGUAGCGGUGAAAUGCUUAGAUAUUACACAGAACACCGAUUGCGAAGGCAGCUUACUAAGCUAUUACUGACGCUGAUGCACGAAAGCGUGGGGAGCGAACAGGAUUAGAUACCCCUGUAGUC